rnacentral:tRNA from 1 species
GCGGGAGUGGUGGAAUGGCAGACACGCGGCGUUUAGGGCGCCGUGACGAAAGGCGUGAGGGUUCAAGUCCCUUCUCCCGCA